rnacentral:rRNA from 1 species
UACGUAGGUGGCAAGCGUUGUCCGGAAUCACUGGGCGUAAAGCGCGCGCAGGCGGCGAUCUACGUCUGGGGGUGAAAGCCCCGGAGCUCAACUCCGGGACUGCCUUGGAUACGGGAUCGCUUGAGGAUUGGAGAGGCAAGGGGAAUUCCACGUGUAGCGGUGAAAUGCGUAGAGAUGUGGAGGAACACCUGUGGCGAAGGCGCCUUGCUGGCCAAUUACUGACGCUGAGGCGCGAAAGCGUGGGGAGCAAACAGG